AUUGAACGCUGGCGGCAGGCCUAACACAUGCAAGUCGAACGGUAGCACAGAGAGCUUGCUCUCGGGUGACGAGUGGCGGACGGGUGAGUAAUGUCUGGGAAACUGCCCGAUGGAGGGGGAUAACUACUGGAAACGGUAGCUAAUACCGCAUAAUGUCGCAAGACCAAAGAAGGGGACCUUCGGGCCUCUUGCCAUCGGAUGUGCCCAGAUGGGAUUAGCUUGUUGGUGAGGUAAUGGCUCACCAAGGCGACGAUCCCUAGCUGGUCUGAGAGGAUGACCAGCCACACUGGAACUGAGACACGGUCCAGACUCCUACGGGAGGCAGCAGUGGGGAAUAUUGCACAAUGGGCGCAAGCCUGAUGCAGCCAUGCCGCGUGUGUGAAGAAGGCCUUCGGGUUGUAAAGCACUUUCAGCGGGGAGGAAGGCGAUACGGUUAAUAACCGGGUUGAUUGACGUUACCCGCAGAAGAAGCACCGGCUAACUCCGUG
rnacentral:rRNA from 1 species